rnacentral:rRNA from 1 species
UACGUAGGAGGCAAACGUUGUCCGGAUUUACUGGGUGUAAAGGGUGCUCAGGCGGUCUUGUAAGUCAGAGGUGAAAUCUCCCGACUCAAUCGGGAAACUGCCUUUGAUACUGUGAGGCUUGAGUGCAGAAGAGGCGGAUGGAAUUUCUGGUGUAGCAGUGAAAUGCGUAGAUAUCAGAAAGAACACCAGUGGCGAAGGCGGUCCGCUGGUCUGUCACUGACGCUAAAGCACGAAAGCGUGGGGAGCAAAC